rnacentral:misc_RNA from 1 species
GCAAACUUGGUCAUUUAGAGGAAGUAAAAGUCGUAACAAGGUCUCCGUUGGUGAACCAGCGGAGGGAUCAUUAAAGAGUUCUAUAACUCCCAAACCCAUGUGAACAUACCUAACGUUGCCUCGGCAGGUCUCGCCUGCCGGUGGCCCACCAAACUCUGUUUGAUAUUGAAUUCUGAACAUGUAACUAAAUAAGUUAAAACUUUCAACAACGGAUCUCUUGGUUCUGUAGAGGAAGUAAAAGUCGUAACAAGGUCUCCGUUGGUGAACCAGCGGAGGGAUCAUUAAAGAGUUCUAUAACUCCCAAACCCAUGUGAACAUACCUAACGUUGCCUCGGCAGGUCUCGCCUGCCGGUGGCCCACCAAACUCUGUUUGAUAUUGAAUUCUGAACAUGUAACUAAAUAAGUUAAAACUUUCAACAACGGAUCUCUUGGUUCUGGCAUCGAUGAAGAACGCAGC